CAUUGAGAAGCUAACCUCAGCAUCAACCUUUUAAGUUGAAGAUUGGGAAAUUAGACUUUCCCCUUGAUGA
rnacentral:tRNA from 1 species